GUGAAUCAUCGAGUCUUUGAACGCACCUUGCGCUCCUUGGUAUUCCGAGGAGCAUGCCUGUUUGAGUGUCAUUAAAUUCUCAACUAUACAAGUUUUUAUUAACCUGUAUGGCUUGGAUCAUGGGAUUUGCGGGCUUCCUGAGUCAGCUAUCCUUAAAUGCAUUAGCAGAGCUUUUGCCGCUAAUCUAUGGUGUGAUAAUUAUCUACUGCCAUUGAGAAGUGACAUGUUGAGGCUUCGCUUCUAAUCGUCUUCACAGACAACAUUUGACAAUCUGACCUCAAAUCAGGUAGGAUUACCCGCUGAACUUAAGCAUAUCAAUAAGCGGAGG
rnacentral:rRNA from 1 species